rnacentral:piRNA from 1 species
UCCAAUUUUCAACAAGUUGCU